rnacentral:rRNA from 1 species
GGGUGAAGGAACUAGGCAAAAUGGUGCCGUAACUUCGGGAGAAGGCACGCUGAUAUGUAGGUGAAGUCCCUCGCGGAUGGAGCUGAAAUCAGUCGAAGAUACCAGCUGGCUGCAACUGUUUAUUAAAAACACAGCACUGUGCAAACACGAAAGUGGACGUAUACGGUGUGACGCCUGCCCGGUGCCGGAAGGUUAAUUGAUGGGGUUAGCGCAAGCGAAGCUCUUGAUCGAAGCCCCGGUAAACGGCGGCCGUAACUAUAACGGUCCUAAGGUAGCGAAAUUCCUUGUCGGGUAAGUUCCGACCUGCACGAAUGGCGUAAUGAUGGCCAGGCUGUCUCCACCCGAGACUCAGUGAAAUUGAACUCGCUGUGAAGAUGCAGUGUACCCGCGGCAAGACGGAAAGACCCCGUGAACCUUUACUAUAGCUUGACACUGAACAUUGAGCCUUGAUGUGUAGGAUAGGUGGGAGGCUUUGAAGUGUGGACGCCAGUCUGCAUGGAGCCGACCUUGAAAUACCACCCUUUAAUGUUUGAUGUUCUAACGUUGACCCGUAAUCCGGGUUGCGGACAGUGUCUGGUGGGUAGUUUGACUGGGGCGGUCUCCUCCUAAAGAGUAACGGAGGAGCACGAAGGUUGGCUAAUCCUGGUCGGACAUCAGGAGGUUAGUGCAAUGGCAUAAGCCAGCUUGACUGCGAGCGUGACGGCGCGAGCAGGUGCGAAAGCAGGUCAUAGUGAUCCGGUGGUUCUGAAUGGAAGGGCCAUCGCUCAACGGAUAAAAGGUACUCCGGGGAUAACAGGCUGAUACCGCCCAAGAGUUCAUAUCGACGGCGGUGUUUGGCACCUCGAUGUCGGCUCAUCACAUCCUGGGGCUGAAGUAGGUCCCAAGGGUAUGGCUGUUCGCCAUUUAAAGUGGUACGCGAGCUGGGUUUAGAACGUCGUGAGACAGUUCGGUCCCUAUCUGCCGUGGGCGCUGGAGAACUGAGGGGGGCUGCUCCUAGUACGAGAGGACCGGAGUGGACGCAUCACUGGUGUUCGGGUUGUCAUGCCAAUGGCACUGCCCGGUAGCUAAAUGCGGAAGAGAUAAGUGCUGAAAGCAUCUAAGCACGAAACUUGCCCCGAGAUGAGUUCUCCCUGACUCCUUGAGAGUCCUGAAGGAACGUUGAAGACGACGACGUUGAUAGGCCGGGUGUGUAAGCGCAGCGAUGCGUUGAGCUAACCGGUACUAAUGAACCGUGAGGCUUAACCUUAC